CUCGUUCCGCAGAGAAGACGCAGUUUGGUGGGAGACAUGACAGUGUGAAAGAUACCAUCCUGGAGAUACAGAGCUGGGAGAGUGAUAAUGCAGAAGGAAGAGAAGUAAUUCCAGCGGGGGAACGCUGGGCGACUUCAAAGGAGCAGCAGCAGAUACUGUUAAGAAAAACACAAAAGGGUAUGUCAGACCCAGAACAGGCUUCUGAGCAGAGAUCAGCUUCUCCACUUCUCGGACAGCUUUCACUGUUGGGGAGAGGUCACGGCAGGUGUUUUACAGAACAAAGGAUCCAUAAAUUCCCUGGCCCCUCCUCUGUCAGGAAGUGGCAUAAAGAGCUCCGAGAAUAUGUCAUCCCCGAGACUGGAUGCCCCCGAAGAGCGGCCACCCCUGCUGACCACACAGGCUUUGCAGCCAUAACCUGGGAAGCUCACGGUCAAGUCGCAGAGUCCAGCCGGAGAGAGGAAGCUGCUCUGAGACAGUCGACAACAAAAUCUGCUUUUCCUACAUCAAGUGCCUUUACGUGUUCUCUUUCCCUCGGUUUGACACUUACUCACUGUUAACUGAAUAAGAUGCUUGGCAAAGCCUCAAAAUGCUUAAGUGGUUAAUAAGAUGGUUCACUUUAACUUAUAUUUAAGUCAAAACGUAAAAUGUAGACCUUUUGACACAGAAAUUCUACUUAAGGGAACUUAUUCUCCAAGAGGAUAAUUGUAAAAGUUUACCAAGAGGAUUAGAAAACAAGGUUCAGUGCAGACUGUUUGUUUGUAAAAGUAACAAAUGACAACCCAAAUGUAAUGAAUGGAAAAUUAAAGUAUGGUUCAGCCACACACAAAAAUUGCUAUGUAGCCAUGAAGCCAAUAAAUCAGAGACUUUUCCGGCACCGAGAAUACCCAUGACAUACGAGUGAAUCAAAAUAAUCAGGUUACAAAGCACCAGUAGAGAACAAUCCUAUUUAUACAAAUUAUUUUUAUGAAGGUACAGAGGAAUAUAUGAAAGAUGUCAAAGCGCUUAUCUUCUGGUGAGUAAAAUUUGGGGUGAUUUUUAACAUCACAUAUAUAGACUAAAUUUUAAAAGAGCCUAUUUUUAUAAUCACAGAAAAACAACAUGAUCUCUCAUACAUUCCCCACGCCCAGAUGCUCUGUCCUACCUAUUUAUUAGGGCACACUAAAUUUCUCUAAAAAACUCGUUUUGCAUUUAAAAUAAACACCUGAAAGCCAUCCUUCUAGCUUCGAUUUUGGGCAACUAAAAUUUUAAACAUCUAAACGGUAGAAAGCAUUU